GCCGCUGCCGCUGCUGCGGGCGGGGGCGGACGAGCGGCUGCGGAGGCGGCUCCGCGGCGUGCUCAGCCUUGCGAGCAGAGAGCGCUCGACAUCGCUGGCAUGACACGGCUGCUGAGUGCCUCAGUGCUCGUGGCUCUUUCUUCCACGCAAACAGAUGGAGCGGCAUCGCUGAGCAGUAAAACACAGCGAUGGCCCGGAGAAUGGCGAGCGCAAGGAGCGCCGGGCAGGAUCCUUCUGAUGGCACAGUGCCAGGAGUCUGGAGAAACUGGAGAAGAGCCCAAGAGACAUUUUUCAUCCUGAGAUACAAAAGGGCAGGGAAGGACUCUCGUAUCCCGGUCGUCAGACUCAGCGCUGCCCGAGAAGAUACAGAGACUGUAAAAAUCAUAAGAAGCAACUAGGACUGCAGAGGAAACAAACUGGAGAGAACAAAAGGUCGUGCUCUGAUGCAUUUACAGAAGCCAUGGCAGGAGAGAGUCAGCUGCUGGAGAAGAGGAGACAGUACUAUCCCUGUGCAGCACGGAACUGUGCUACUGCUGUGUCAUCAGCUGUGUCUGCACUGAAAGUAGCCACCUUCACUUGUAGGUAGCUCCUUGGUGCUUUAGGACACGCUGAGGGAUUUAUUCCUUUUGGG